AUUGAACGCUGGCGGCAGGCCUAACACAUGCAAGUCGAGCGGAUGAAGGGAGCGUGCUCCUGGAUUCAGCGGCGGACGGGUGAGUAAGGCCUAGGAAUCUGCCUGGUCGUGGGGGAUAACGUCCGGAAACGGGCGCUAAUACCGCAUACGUCCUGAGGGAGAAAGUGGGGGAUCUUCGGACCUCACGCUAUCAGAUGAGCCUAGGUCGGAUUAGCUAGUUGGUGGGGUAACGGCUUACCAAGGCGACGAUCCGUAACUGGUCUGAGAGGAUGAUCAGUCACACUGGAACUGAGACACGGUCCAGACUCCUACGGGAGGCAGCAGUGGGGAAUAUUGGACAAUGGGCGAAAGCCUGAUCCAGCCACGCCGCGUGUGUGAAGAAGGUCUUCGGAUUGUAAAGCACUUUAAGUUGGGAAGAAGGGCAGUGAGAUAAACCCUUCCUGUUUUGACGUUACCAACAGAAUAAGCACCGGCUAACUACGUG
rnacentral:rRNA from 1 species